GGAAGGAUCAUUACCGAGAUUUGUCGUCUUUUUUUACAAAAGCGCAUCUCCCACCCAUUGUGUUACCAAUUAUUUAUACUUUGGUGAAGCGUUUUAGAAAUAGAACCAUCGACAUGCUUUGUUUUUCUGCUGGUCAAACAGCAGAGAAAUAAAGCGAGUGGAUGAGCCUUUGCCAAAGGAACCAAACCUUAACUCUUUUUUUUAUUAAUAAAUUGUCUGAGUUUAUAAAUCAAAUAAACAAAACUUUCAACAACGGAUCUCUUGGUUCUGGCAUCGAUGAAGAACGCAGCGAAAUGCGAUAAGUAAUGUGAAUUGCAGAAUUCAGCGAAUCAUCGAAUUUUUGAACGCACAUUGCGCCUCAGAGUAUUCUUUGAGGCAUACCUGUUCGAGCGUCGUUUAGACCAUAAGGCUUUGCCUUGCGUUGAUUUUCUGGCAGCUACCCAGUAGUAGCCAGGAAUCUAAACAUGUUGGCGUCGAUAGUUUUGACGAAGACACAGCACAAUGUGUUAUUCUGAAGACUAAUUUUUAUUUAUUUAUUAAUAAAAUCGAUUUGCCUUGAAUCAUCUAAUACUGUCUGACAGUAUUGUAGGUUCGACCUCGGAUCAAGUAAGACUACCCGCUGAACUUAAGCAUAUCAAUAAGCGGAGGAAAAGAAACCAACAGGGAUUGCCUCAGUAACGGCGAGUGAAGCGGCAAAAGCUCAAAUUUGAAAUCUGGUCCUAGACCCGAGUUGUAAUUUGUAGAGGAACGUUCGGCGACGCCUAGGUCUGAGUCUUCUGGAAGGAAGCGCCUUUGAGGGUGAGAGCCCCGUAGGACUGAUGGCUGAACCAUGUGUACGUCCUUCGACGAGUCGAGUUGUUUGGAAUGCAGCUCAAAACGGGUGGUAAAUUCCAUCUAAAGCUAAAUAUUGGCCAGAGACCGAUAGCGCACAAGUAGAGUGAUCGAAAGAUGAAAAGCACUUUGGAAAGAGAGUGAAACAGUACGUGAAAUUGUUGAAAGGGAAGCGCUAGCGACCAGACCUGUGUUUAACGUUUAGCGGUUCGUUUGGACCGUGUACUUCGUUGUUUACUAGUCAACAUCGGUUGUUGGGGUCGGAUAAAAGUUCGAGGAACGUAGCUCUGCUUCGGGGAGAGUGUUAUAGCCUCUUGCACAAUACGGCCACCGACGACCGAGGAACGCCUUUUUGUAGGAUGUUGACAUAAUGGUUGCUAGCGGCCCGUCUUGAAACACGGACCAAGGAGUCUAACAUCCGUGCGAGUGUUUGGGUGUCAAACCCGCUCGCGAAAUGAAAGUGAACGUUGGUGAGAGUCUGUAAAAAGAUGCAUCAUCGACCGAUCCUGAUGUCCUCGGAAGGAUUUGAGUAAGAGCACGGCUGUUGGGACCCGAAAGAUGGUGAACUAUGCGUGAAUAGGGCGAAGCCAGAGGAAACUCUGGUGGAGGCUCGCAGCGGUUCUGACGUGCAAAUCGAUCGUCGAAUUUGCGUAUAGGGGCGAAAGACUUAAUCGAACCAUCUAGUAGCUGGUUCCUGC
rnacentral:misc_RNA from 1 species